GAUGAACGCUGGCGGCGUGCUUAACACAUGCAAGUCGAACGAAGCACUUUAUUUGAUUUCCUUCGGGACUGAUUAUUUUGUGACUGAGUGGCGGACGGGUGAGUAACGCGUGGGUAACCUGCCUUGUACAGGGGGAUAACAGUUGGAAACGGCUGCUAAUACCGCAUAAGCGCACAGCAUCGCAUGAUGCAGUGUGAAAAACUCCGGUGGUAUGGGAUGGGCCCGCGUCUGAUUAGGCAGUUGGCGGGGUAACGGCCCACCAAACCGACGAUCAGUAGCCGGCCUGAGAGGGCGACCGGCCACAUUGGGACUGAGACACGGCCCAAACUCCUACGGGAGGCAGCAGUGGGGAAUAUUGCACAAUGGGGGAAACCCUGAUGCAGCGACGCCGCGUGAGCGAAGAAGUAUUUCGGUAUGUAAAGCUCUAUCAGCAGGGAAGAUAAUGACGGUACCUGA
rnacentral:rRNA from 1 species